rnacentral:rRNA from 1 species
GUCGUGAGGCAUGCUGGAGGUAUCAGAAGUGCGAAUGCUGACAUAAGUAACGAUAAAGCGGGUGAAAAGCCCGCUCGCCGGAAGACCAAGGGUUCCUGUCCAACGUUAAUCGGGGCAGGGUGAGUCGACCCCUAAGGCGAGGCCGAAAGGCGUAGUCGAUGGGAAACGGGUUAAUAUUCCCGUACUUGGUGUUACUGCGAAGGGGGGACGGAGAAGGCUAUGUUGGCCGGGCGACGGUUGUCCCGGUUUAAGCGUGUAGGUGUGUGUUCCAGGUAAAUCCGGUUCACUUUAACACUGAGGCGUGACGACGAGGCACUACGGUGCUGAAGCAACAAAUGCCCUGCUUCCAGGAAAAGCCUCUAAGCAUCAGGUAACAUCAAAUCGUACCCCAAACCGACACAGGUGGUCAGGUAGAGAAUACCAAGGCGCUUGAGAGAACUCGGGUGAAGGAACUAGGCAAAAUGGUGCCGUAACUUCGGGAGAAGGCACGCUGACAC